UUCAUGUUUCAUGAAGUGUAUUUUUGCUCUUGCUUAGUGAUGAGGCUCCAGAAGUAACAAAAGAAAUGGUGGCACACAAAAGUGAAACUUCAGUACAUCAAGAUUCCGAUGAAUUACGCCGUCCUUUGAGUUCUCUGACAGUUGGGAGCACAGAUCGUGUCUUAAAUAAAAAUGAAACUACUACUGAAAAUUUACAUGGCUUUCCAAUAAAAGAAGUCCCAUCACUUGAAAUAAAUGAAGAUCAGACAUCUCAGCAAUGACAUGUGCUGCAUUUCAGAAGAUCUUAUUCCCCUCGCAGUUGGUCAAAAAAGACUCCUUAAGGCAGAAAUAUUCAAACGGUUUGAAGAACUGGUGGACAAUUUGGAAUACAAACGAGGCAAAAAGGACACCACCUGUGCAGACCUGGAUGGAUUCUGGGACAUGGCCAGCUUUCAGAUAUAGGAUCUGCGACAGAAAUUCAACAAUCUGACCAUACGUGAGGAGUGUGGAUGGGAGAAAGCCAGCAAUACGAGCAAAGAUGUGUUUCAGGAAAAAGUUGUCUUGGGUAUAGCGAGUGAACCAAAACAGGACGAUGCUGGGAUCGCAGAUGGGGGUCACCUUGCUGCUGUGAAGAAGGCAGUGAGAGAGAGGAUGCAGCCGGGAGAGCGUGCUGAGGCCGUGGGCUCUGCGGUGCCAAAGGAAGUUGAUCAUAAAGCGUUUGACGCUGGAUCUUUUAGAAUCGAAAGUCCCGUUAAAUCGUUCUCAGGUUAGUUUUUCUGUUGAGACUACUUAAGAAACGUACUUGGGUUGGAUGGGAGCUUGUACAGGAGGUGAAAAAGUUUUCACAGGAAGCAAUAUAAGCUGUCUGUGAUUUCUGGAAAAUAGACCACAUCCUCACCACCAAACACUUGCAGAUUUUGUUUGAUGG